GACUUAAAGGACAUUUAUUUUUUGAAAGGGUGGAGGGAGACUUUACAAGAGUCUGAAGCCAAUAACUAGAAAAGAUGAUAAAUAAAAUACAAAGCCGGUAUGUUGUGGCAAAAUUUCAGAAAACACACUGAAAAAAAAUCUUUACAGUUUAAAACUGCUUUACUUUAUACAUAAUUACAAAUUAAUAUACAGCAUUUGGGUUUUAACCCCUUUUUAAUCUAAUAGGAUUCAGCACAGAAAUGUUCCUAUAGCAUCUGGAAACAACGAAUGAGAGCAGAGGUAUGAGGUGUAGGUAAUCGCCCUCCUGCAUAAACCCUGGCGUCUCCUGAUCUCCUGCGCGCUGACGGGGUGACACGCAGGAAUCCACAGACUACACUGUGACUGCGGGCCAGCCAACCAACAGGUCCCUGUCAGUGCCCUCAAGCCGCCCAACCUGGCAGGUGGUCACGAAAGGCAGAAUCAUUCAAGCGGGGUGACGACUGGGGUGAGCAGAGGCCGGGUUCCGCCUGCGUGUCUGGAGCAGGCCGUCACGGUCUGUGGCAGGAAAGACUUUAACCAGUUGGGUCUGCCGUCUUUAAACCUUAGCGAGAUGGAGAACUAACUCAAGGUCUGUCAAGCUUUUCACAAACUAAAUUAGACUGGUACGUGGAGAGAAGCCUUUUUUUCCCCUUCCUUUUUUCCCCCGUUACGGCAGCAUUAGAAGACUUUUCAUUGUAAAACCUGGCCAGCAGGCAGCAGAUUGCAAAGCGCUGGUUAACUAGGAAUGUUACGCUACGCUGAAGGAAAAUGAAGAACCACAACAAACAAAUGCUCUGCCCUCUUCUUUGUCUCUGAGGAUCAAUCACAGCAACUGCGCCAGGUGGGGCUGGGACCCCAGGACCACAGCCUGUGUGUCCCGUGGUCCUGCUGCAGGAAGGCAAGUCACACAUCCCUCAGCCAACCACUGCCACCACAGCCUCAGAAACCACAGGCUAAAGCUCUUUCUGGGCUUCCGCAUUCCAAGGAGUCUCGAAAACUUUUGCUCACUACUGCUAGUACUAGGGGCAUGGGAAGAGAACAAA
ensembl:lncRNA